GGGGAGGCAAAUCCCAGAAAUAAGUCCCAGUUCGGAUUGCAGUCUGCAACUCGACUGCAUGAAGCUGGAAUCGCUAGUAAUCGCGAAUCAGCAUGUCGCGGUGAAUACGUUCCCGGGUCUUGUACACACCGCCCGUCACACCAUGGGAGUCGGAAAUGCCCGAAGCCAGUGACCCAACCUUUAAGGAGGGAGCUGUCGAAGGCAGGUCUGGUAACUGGGGUGAAGUCGUAACAAGGUAGC
rnacentral:rRNA from 1 species